rnacentral:sRNA from 1 species
GCUGCCGCAAAAUCGGUAGCCGGGAUUGGCGUCCCGGAAAUAACAAAGGCGACACCACACGCGCCAUGCGUGUUUUUU